rnacentral:lncRNA from 1 species
AGGGCAUUUAUUAUUUGGGUUUCUUAUUCGACUUUUCAAAAUGCUUAAAGACGUAGAAUUUCUCGUUUCGUCUGGUAACUUAUUCCACAAUUUAAUGGACGAAGGAAGGAAAUAAUCGGAGUAUAUAUUAGUUCUUGUACGAAUUUUCGAAGUAUUUUGAGUCUGACGAGUGAAAUGGUUAUGUAAAUUAACUAUUUGAUUUGGUACCAAGUUUUGUAAAUAAUCUGGAGUUUCCUUAUUCACCAUUUUAU